CAUCUUUUUAUGAAACAUUGGUGCAAUGAAGAUGUUUAUUUAAAAAGCCUCACAGAAGGAGAUACGCACACAUUUUCUUUUGCUAAUAUUGCUAGAGUGAUGGAUAAAACCUCCUUGUUUUUGCUACCUUCGACCAUCCCACUGUUGGCCAUUUUCCUCAUCCUCCUAUACAAAUGGUACAACUCCGCGACAACUACCAACAAAACCAACAAAACCCCCUCUCCCCCUUCGCCAUCUAAGCUCCCUAUCAUUGGAAACUUUCAUCAACUAGGGUUCCACACUCAUCGCUCACUUUACACCUUAUCUCAACGCCAUGGCCCUCUCAUGCUUCUCCACUUUGGACGUGUCCCGGUCCUUAUAGUCUCUUCAUCUGAGGCUGCCCGCGAGAUCAUGAAAACCCAUGAUCUCACAUUUUCUGACCGACCCAAAUCCCCCAGCGUUGAGAAGCUCCUCUACAACUACAACGAUGUUGCAUUUGCUCCUUAUGGAGAAUACUGGAGGCAGGUGAAAAGUAUAUGCGUCCUACAUCUUUUGAGCAACAAAAGGGUCCGCUCUUUUCGCUCGGUGAGGGAAGAGGAAACCACAUCCAUGAUCAGCCACAUAGAGCAAUCAUCAUCAUCAUCAUCAUCUUCAGUUUUGAAUUUAAGUGAAAUGUUUGUGCGGCUUACUAAUGAUGUGGUAUGUAGAGUGGCUCUGGGGAGGAAGUACAGUGGCAGAGAUGGUGAGAGGAAUUUUAAGCAGCUUUUGGGGGAGCUUGGAGAGUUAGUGGGGACUAUCGAUCUCGGGGACUAUAUUCCAUGGCUUUCUUGGUUGAGUCAUGUCAACGGUUUCAAAGCAAAGCUGGACAAGGUGGCUAAGCAGUUGGAUGACUUUAUAGACGGAGUUAUUCAAGAGCACAUGAAUUAUAAUUCAAAGAGUGGAGAUGAUGAGCAAAAGGAUUUCGUGGACGUUUUGCUUUGGAUUCAGAAAGGAAACUUGACUGGUUUCCCUAUUGAUACAGUUACUAUAAAAGCUCUCAUCUUGGAUAUGUUUGUUGGUGGCACUGAUACAACAUAUACAGUCCUAGAGUGGGCAAUGACUGAGCUUUUAAGGCAUCCAAGGGUCCUGGGCAAAUUACAGACUGAGGUACGAGGAAUAGUCGGUAAUGGAGCACACAUAACAGAGGAUGAUUUGGUAGAAAUGCACUACCUGAAAGCGGUGAUUAAGGAGACUCUUCGCUUACAUCCACCAGUUCCAUUACUAGUGCCCAGGGUGUCGACCCAAGACGUGGAAAUAAGUGGUUACAGCAUUAGAGCCAAGACCCAAGUUUUGAUCAAUGCUUGGCAAAUUGGAAGAGAUCCUAAGCUAUACGACAAACCAGAGGAGUUUGAACCGGAAAGGUUCCUGAAUAGUGGGAUAGAUUAUAAAGGGACUGAUUUUCAGUUGAUUCCAUUCGGAGCUGGUAGGAGGGUCUGCCCGGGAAUUCAGUUUGCAAUAGCUGUUAAUGAGAUUGCCUUAGCAAGUAUCGUGUACAAGUUUGAUUGGAAAAUGCCUGGUGGAGCAAGUGGGGAGGAUUUAGACACGGCUGAAUCUACUGGUCUAACUAUACACAGAAAAUAUCCUCUCGAAGCGGUUGCUAUUCCACAUUCGUGUUGAAAGCUAGUUAGCAGAAGUGGGUGGCAUAACAUAAGGUCAUGACGUUCUAAUCAAGCUUGGAGAUUUGUAUUUGCACUCAUGCCACAUAUGCAGUGCUAGAGUGGGCAAUGACUGAGCUUUUGAGGCAUCCGAGGAUCAUGAGCAAAUUGCAGAAUGAGGUACGGGGAAUAGUCGGAAACAUAACAGACAUAAUUACAGAGGAUGAUUUGGUAGGCAUGCACUACUUGAAGGCAGUGAUCAAGGAGACUCUUCGCUUACAUACUCCAGCUCCAUUACUAGUUCCCAGGGUGUCGACGCAAGAUGUGAAAAUAAAUGAUUACGACAUUAAGGCCAAGACACUUGUUAUGAUCAACGCGUAGGGAAUCGGAAGAGAUCCUGAAACGUAUGAAAACCCAGAGUACAAGCCAAAAAGGUUCUUGACUAAAGGUCCAGACUAUAAAGGGAAUGACUUCCAGUUCAUUCCAUUUGGAGCUGGCAGGAGGAUCUUCCCCGGAAUUCAGUUUGCAAUAUCUAUCGUUGAGAUUGUUCUGGCCAAUAUCGUGCACGAGUUCAACUGGGCAUUGCCCGGUGGAGCAAGUGGCGAGGGUUUUGACAUGACUGAAUCAAAUGGCGCAACUGUAAACCUAAAGUAUCCUCUCAAAGCUGUUGCUCUUCCAUAUUUAGGUUGAAAGAUAGAGGCUACAUUGUCUGUG